rnacentral:rRNA from 5 species
UGCCAGCGGUCCGGCCGGGAACUCAAAGGAGACUGCCAGUGAUAAACUGGAGGAAGGUGGGGAUGACGUCAAGUCAUCAUGGCCCUUACGACCAGGGCUACACACGUGCUACAAUGGCGCAUACAAAGAGAAGCGACCUCGCGAGAGCAAGCGGACCUCAUAAAGUGCGUCGUAGUCCGGAUUGGAGUCUGCAACUCGACUCCAUGAAGUCGGAAUCGCUAGUAAUCGUGGAUCAGAAUGCCACGGUGAAUACGUUCCCGGGCCUUGUACACACCGCCCGUCACACCAUGGGAGUGGGUUGCAAAAGAAGUAGGUAGCUUAACCUUCGGGAGGGCGCUUACCACUUUGUGAUUCAUGACUGGGGUGAAGUCGUAACAAGGUAACCGUAGGGGAACCUGCGGUUGGA